UUGUGGGCGGGGCUAAGUUCGGCUGGCAUCCAGGCUAGCAAGGAAGAGUCAUUACUCAUCCUUUCUAGGUUCACAAUGCCAUCAACCAGGAUCAGUAAAGACAUUUUAACUCUUCUCAUUAUGUCUUUUGUGUUUGGUGAAGGUAUUUCAGCACGUGUGCUGAGAAGCAGAGCUGAUGAAGGUACAGCAGAGUUAAAGCUGCUCUUUGACCCUGGCCUCCCUUAAACAGCAUGUCACUGAUGAUUACGGUGAGAGGCCCUUCCCUCUUCCUCUGCCACCCGACACUGAAAAUCCUUAUCAACCUAACCUGGACGAUGAAUACUUCUAACAGAAACACAACAGAUCCUCACGCAAAUCAGUGAAGCUGAUCUGUCCUGCAGGGAGGAUUACCUCCAGCAAAAACAACCGCAUGUUCAAAUAAAACAUGCAUGUUUCCUUGUAUAUUUAAUCCUUUUGAGGACAAUACAAUAAACAAAACCUC